rnacentral:rRNA from 1 species
AAUGGCGACUAUACUGGCGUUGUCCCACCUGUUCCCAUUCCGAACACAGAAGUGAAAUGCGCCGAGGCCGAUGAUACUCCUAUGGGGGAAAGUAGGAAGUCGCCGUUC